AACGAACGCUGGCGGCAGGCUUAACACAUGCAAGUCGAGCGCCCCGCAAGGGGAGCGGCAGACGGGUGAGUAACGCGUGGGAAUCUACCCAUCUCUACGGAAUAACGCAUGGAAACGUGUGCUAAUACCGUAUACGUCCUUCGGGAGAAAGAUUUAUCGGAGAUGGAUGAGCCCGCGUUGGAUUAGCUAGUUGGUGGGGUAAAGGCCUACCAAGGCGACGAUCCAUAGCUGGUCUGAGAGGAUGAUCAGCCACACUGGGACUGAGACACGGCCCAGACUCCUACGGGAGGCAGCAGUGGGGAAUAUUGGAAAAUGGGCGCAAGCCUGAGCCAGCCAUGCCGCGUGAGUGAUGAAGGCCCUAGGGUUGUAAAGCUCUUUCACCGGUGAAGAUAAUGACGGUAACCGGAGAAGAAGCCCCGGCUAACUUCGUGCCAGCCGCCGCAGUAACAC
rnacentral:rRNA from 1 species